CCCGGUCUGGCGAAGUAGUAGACGCGCUGUCCUCAGAAGGCAGUGUCCUUGUGACGGGAGGGUGCGAGUCCCUCGACCGGGACCA
rnacentral:tRNA from 1 species